CACGUAGGGCGCAAGCGUUGUCCGGAAUUAUUGGGCGUAAAGGGCGCGUAGGCGGUGCGGUAAGUCACCUGUGAAACCUCUAGGCUCAACCUAGAGCCUGCAGGCGAAACUGCCGUGCUUGAGGGUGGGAGAGGUGCGUGGAAUUCCCGGUGUAGCGGUGAAAUGCGUAGAUAUCUGGAGGAACACCGGUGGCGAAGGCGGGUCUCUGGGCAGUAACUGACGCUGAGGAGCGAAAGCGUGGGGAGCGAACAGG
rnacentral:rRNA from 1 species